GAGUCUGGGAAGCAUUUGGCGGCAAAUUAUCCUGCAGCGAGAUCUCUGUGUGAGGAACUUUGUGAUGUGUGUGAAUAUGUAUGUUUAUGUGGAUGCAAGAACAAAUGUGUUUUAUUUUACAUGAGUCAUUUUCCCCUUGUCUUAUAAUUUUGCCUUUUCUUUGUUUGUCUUUGUUUGAUUUUGUGUGUGUGUGUGUGUGUGUGUGUGUGUGUGUGUGUGUGUGUUAACCUCAUCAUUUUAGUCCUCCUGCAUGUGAAUGAAUUUCCUGCGUUUCUGAAUGAAACUCUGAGCUGAGAGCUUCCCUGUGGAUUUGAACAAAGACACACUCUCUCUCACACACAUAAUGGCUUUUUGUGGCGAAUCAGGUGUUUUUUUGAAGAACCGGG